GACGAACGCUGGCGGCGUGCUUAACACAUGCAAGUCGAGCGGUAAGGCCCUUUUGGGGGUACACGAGCGGCGAACGGGUGAGUAACACGUGGGUGACCUGCCCUCAGCUCUGGGAUAAGCCUGGGAAACUGGGUCUAAUACUGGAUAUGACCUUUCCUCGCAUGGGGUUGGGUGGAAAGUUUUUCGGCUGGGGAUGGGCCCGCGGCCUAUCAGCUUGUUGGUGGGGUGAUGGCCUACCAAGGCGACGACGGGUAGCCGGCCUGAGAGGGCGACCGGCCACACUGGGACUGAGACACGGCCCAGACUCCUACGGGAGGCAGCAGUGGGAAUAUUGCGCAAUGGGCGGAAGCCUGACGCAGCGACGCCGCGU
rnacentral:rRNA from 1 species